rnacentral:rRNA from 1 species
AUGACGUCAAGUCCUCAUGGCCUUUAUGCUUAGGGCUACACACGUGCUACAAUGGGUGGUACAAAGAGAAGCCAACUCGCGAGAGCGCGCCAAUCUCAAAAAGCCAUCCUCAGUUCGGAUUGGAGUCUGCAACUCGACUCCAUGAAGUUGGAAUCGCUAGUAAUCGCGGAUCAGCAUGCCGCGGUGAAUACGUUCCCGGGCCUU